AUGAAAUGUAAAACUCAUUUCAGAGUGGACGUUGCAUGCUGGGUGCGGUGGCGCGCGCCUGUAAUCCACGUCACUGGGAGGCUGCGGCUGGUGGAGCUCUUGAGCUCAGGGGUUCUGGACUACCGUGGGCUUUGUUGAUCGGGUGUCCGCGCUAAGAUCGGUGUUUCUAAGGGAGCUCUGAAAUACCAGGUCGUCUAAGGAGGGGUGAACCGGCCCAGGUCGGGAACGAAGCAGGUCAAAGCCACCGUACCGAUCAGUAGUGGGAUAGCACCUGUGAAUAGACGCGGUAGAGCAGCCUGGGUGAUACGGUGUGACCCAGUCUUGUUAUACAAAACUUUCAUGAUCAAAAUUUUUGCUAGAACAAUUUCAUAUGAACAUCUAAAACGCCACAUAACGUGAACAUUCACAUCCCCUUUAAGAGCAGACAUUUUCAGUUGUUUUUUCUCGACAGUAAUAUACUGUACAUGGAAAACGUGAUCCAAAUACAUUAACUUCUUUUAAAAAGUCACUAGUAUUUAAU
ensembl:lncRNA